CUUUAAUCUAUGGAUAUUAUAUGACUGGGAAGGGCCACAGCCAUAGACCCACCCACUGGGGAGCCAAGACCUGCCAGAGUUUUCCCCACAAAAGGGAUUUAUUACUAACAAAAAUACUCCUGUUUCAUCAGCUGUACGGGUGGCUGAUCUCAGACGAUCAAGGUGAAGAAGCCGGAUGUGGAGGUCCUGGGCUGGCGUGGUUACACGUGGUCUGCGGUUGUGGUUGGACGUACUGCCAAAUUCUCUAAAACAACAUUGGUGGCUUAUGGUAGAGAAAUGAACAUUCAAUUAUCUGGUAAACAUUCCUGCAGUCAACAUGCCAAUUGCACGUUCCCCUGACUUGAGAUAUCUGUGGGGUUGUGUUGUGACAAAACUGCACAUUUUAGUGGCCUUUUAUUGUCCCGAGCUGUUGUUUCCACCUAGCUGUUCCAGGCCUGAAGUGGCACGCUGGAACUUCCAGAGGCUUGUAGACCUGAAACAGUGUGAUAUGGUCCAGGUAAUUAUCAAACACACGUAUGCACACUCACUCAAUCAAUCACUCUGUUUUGUUGUAUAAUUAUUUUAACUUAAGAAAAUUGUUCCUCUCUUUUAGAUCUGACACCCCUAUUACCUCAACCAGUCUUCACGGCUGCAGUUUGCCCCUGUACCUGCUACACCGGUCACAACAGGUGAUACAGAUCUGUCACCCUCAGCAGUUCAGCUGCAGUCACAGCAGUCCUCUGCUGUGGUAUUUAAUUUACCGGCUGCACCAGUUCCAACUACACUGGCCGUGAAGGGAGAAACUUUUGAGGAUUCCCAGAUGGAUACAGGUAAUUCAGAAUUAUAUUACAUAUGCUCACUCACACCAACAUAUGUACAUACAGACAUGUUGAGCGGUAUUACCUGUAUCCAUCUGGGAAUCCUCAAAAGUUUCUCCCUUCACGGCCAGUGUAGUAGGAACUAAUCAAAGUGUAGAUUACAUCUCAAAUUCCAGUGUUUUAACUUGUAAACAGGGCUGCAUGAGAUUUCUGUUAAUGUGCAGUCAAUGGCAAUGUCCGCUUUAGGUAUAAUGCCAGGAACAGCUUGUGAAUUUGACAGCUCUAACACAGUUCCACCUGAGACACCGCCAAAACAACCACUGUGGAUGUCGGCUAAAGCGGACGGAUUGAAUAGAGCCCCAAGCGAGGGAGUGUGUGCAUGUGUGUAUACAUACAUGCAUGUGAUAAUUACCUGUAUCAGCUGUCAUGACCGGUGUAGCAGAUACAGGGGUAAACUGCAGCUGUGAAGACUGUGGUUGAGCUAAUAGGGGUGUCAGAGCUAAAAGAGAGAGGAACAAUUUCCCCAAGUCAAAAUAAUUACACAACAAAACAGAGUGAUUGAUUGAGUGAGUGUGUUUGAUAAUUACCUGGACCACAUCACACUGCUUCAGGUCUACAAGCCUCUGGAAGUUCCAGCGUGCCAUUCCAGGCCUGGAACAGCUUGGUGGAAAGACAGUUACCCGUCACCCACUGAGCAGGUUGGCAGAUCUGAAAAAUGGGCACAAUAUAAUUUUAAUGACAAAGCCUUGACUACACACUAACCUAAACAGAACAGACUAAGGGAGGCGGACAGUAGUAUAGAGCCAUGACUACAUGGAACUCUAUUCCACAAUAACAAACUCAUCCAAGCAGUAAAAUUAGAUUUAAAUGACAGAUAAAAAUACACCUUAUGGGACAGCGGGGACUGUGAAGAGACAUGCAUACACACAAUAACAUACGCACUGUACACACACGUACACAAGGAUGUUGUUGUUGUAGAUAUGUGGUAGUAGAGUAGUGGCCUGAGGGCACACACUUAAUGUGUUGUGAAUGUAUUGUAAUGUUUUUAAAAUUGUAUAACUGCACUGUUCAUGGAGGAACACAUUGUUAAUAUGUGUUCCUCCAUGAACAUUGUAAUAUUGUUUAUUGAACAUACUGUACAUAUUUCACCCAGAGGUGACACAAUUGUGAAUCAUAUAGUUGAAGUCGGAAGCUUACAUACAUUUAAACUCAGUUUUUCACAAUUCCUGACAUUUAAUCUUAGGUCAGUUAGGAUCACCACUUUAUUUUAAGAAUGUGAAAUGUCAGAAUAAUAGUAGAGAGAAUGAUUUAUUUCAGCUUUUAUUUCUUUCAUCACAUUCCCAGUGGGUCAGAAGUUUACACACACUCAAUUAGUAUUUGGUAGCAUUGCCUUUAAAUUGUUUAACUUGGGUCAAACGUUUCGGGUAGCCUUCCACAAGCUUCCUACAAUAAGUUGGGUGAAUUUUGGCCCAUUCCUCCUGACAGAGCUGGGGUAACUGAGUCAGGUUAGUAGGCCUCCUUGCUCGCACAUGCUUUUUCAGUUCUGCCCACAAAUUUUCUAUGGGAUUGAGGUCAGGGCUUUGUGAUGGCCACUCCAAUACCUUGACUUUGUUAUCCUUAAGCCAUUUUGCCACAAAUUUGGAAGUAUGCUUGGGGUCAUUGUCCAUUUGGAAGACCCAUUUGCGACCAAGCACCAACUUCCUGACUAAUGUCUUGAGGUAUUGCUUCAAUAUAUCCACAUAAUUUCCCCCCCUUAUGAUGCCAUCUAUUUUGUGAAGUGCACCAGUCCCUUCUGCAGCAAAGCACCUCCAUGCUGCCAGCCCCGUGCUUCACGGUUGGGAUGGUGUUCUUCAGCUUGCAAGCCACCCCCUUUUUUCUCCAAACAUAACAAUGGUCAUGUUAUGGCCAAAUCUUUGUUUCAUCAGACCAGGGGACAUUUCUCCAAAAAGUAUGGUCUUUGUCCCCAUGUGCAUUUGUAAACCGUAGUCUGGCUUUUUUUUGUCGGUUUUGGAGCAGUGGCUUCUUCCUUGCUGAGCGGCCUUUCAGGUUAUGUCGAUUAUAGGACUUGUUUUACUGUGGAUAUAGAUACUUUUGUACCUGUUUCCUCCAGUAUCUUCACAAGGUCCUUUGCUGUUGUUCUGGGACUGAUUUGCACUUUUUGCACCAAAGUACGUUCAUCUCUAGGAGACCGAACACAUCUCCUUCCUGAGAGGUAUGACGGCUGUGUGGUCUCAUGGUGUUAAUACUUGCGUACUGUUGUUUAACGUGGUACCUUCAGGCAUUUGGAAAUUGCUCCCAAGGAUAAACCAGACUUGUGGAUGUCUAGAAUUCUUUUUCUGAGGUCUUGGCUGAUUUCUUUUGAUUGUCCUAUGAUUUCUAGCGAAGAGGCACUGAGGCACUGAGUUUGACAGUAGGCCUGAAAUACAUCCACAGGUACACCUCCAAUUGACUCAAAUGAUGUCAGAAGCUUCUAUAGCCAUGACAUCAUUUUCUGGAAUUUUCUAAGCUGUUUAAAGGCACAAUCAACUUAGUUUAUGUCAACUUCUGACCCACUGGAAUUGUGAUACAGUAAAUUAUAAGUGAAAUAAUCUGUCUAUAACCCAUUGUUGGAAAAAUUACUUGUGUCAUGCACAAAGUAGAUGUCCUAACCGACUUGCCAAACCUAUAGUUUGUUAACAAGAAAUUUGUGGAGUGGUUGAAAAAACUAGUUUUAAUGACUCCAACCUAAUAGUAUAUAAACUUCCAACUUCAACUGUACAUAAUGCAGUGGCUUUGUAGCUCAAUGAACUACUAGCAAUAGGCUAUGGGACCUCAUGUUUUAUGAGGCCUUCCUAAAUCUCUCUCUUUGCGAAAAGAAUAUAGCCU
rnacentral:lncRNA from 13 species